rnacentral:rRNA from 1 species
GCCCGUACCGCAAACCGACACAGGUAGUCAAGAUGAGAAUUCUAAGGUGAGCGAGCGAACUCUCGUUAAGGAACUCGGCAAAAUGACCCCGUAACUUCGGGAGAAGGGGUGCUCUUUAGGGUUAACGCCCAGAAGAGCCGCAGUGAAUAGGCCCAAGCGACUGUUUAUCAAAAACACAGGUCUCUGCUAAACCGUAAGGUGAUGUAUAGGGGCUGACGCCUGCCCGGUGCUGGAAGGUUAAGAGGAGUGGUUAGCUUCUGCGAAGCUACGAAUCGAAGCCCCAGUAAACGGCGGCCGUAACUAUAACGGUCCUAAGGUAGCGAAAUUCCUUG